ACAAUAUCAUCGUCUUCCCCAAAAUUGUCCAUCGUUUUCUCCGUUCUUUCUCAAUCGAGUUCUCCAGCAGAGUCCUUCUUCAAUUGUCAUCAAUCUUCUCAUCCAAUUGGCUGAGAUAUAUCGGCGAUAAGCAGUCAUCGUUAUCAGAGAAAAAUACGAUGCCAGUCCUAGCUCCGUCUCCAUAGCUCCGGCGAGAAGAAGUCUUCACUCGCUGUUCAUCAUCCGUCGCUGUUCCCGUCGCUGAGGCUUCCAAGAAGUUCUCCAACUCGUCCACCGGCAAAAAGUAUGAAUUCCAACGAGUUACCGAAACUGCUGUUUCCGCCUGGAAGUGUGCCUCCGAUAGAGAAGAUUACCAACCGAUGUUCAUUAUCCAUUCUAAGCAAGUUGAAUGCAAAGCUGCCAGAUGAGUACAAGAAGGUUUUGAAAGAUCCUGUCUUUGGUCCGUUUCUAAGGAUUAAUAAAAACAGACUUGGCUACUCGGCGAGAUUCAUUCACAGUUUCAUGUGUAAGCAGCUCAUCACGGACAAGAUUCAUGAGUUAUGGUUCGUCUUUGCUGGGAGACCUUUGCGAUUUUCUUUACAGGAAUUCUAUGCAA